rnacentral:rRNA from 1 species
CCUACGGAGCGCAGCAGUGGGGAAUAUUGGACAAUGGGCGAAAGCCUGAUCCAGCCAUGCCGCGUGUGUGAAGAAGGCCUUCGGGUUGUAAAGCACUUUCAGUGGGGAAGAAAGCCUUGGGGCUAAUACCCUCGAGGAAGGACAUCACCCACAGAAGAAGCACCGGCUAACUCCGUGCCAGCAGCCGCGGUAAUACGGAGGGUGCGAGCGUUAAUCGGAAUUACUGGGCGUAAAGCGCGCGUAGGCGGUCUGAUAAGCCGGUUGUGAAAGCCCCGGGCUCAACCUGGGAACGGCAUCCGGAACUGUCAGGCUAGAGUGCAGGAGAGGAAGGUAGAAUUCCCGGUGUAGCGGUGAAAUGCGUAGAGAUCGGGAGGAAUACCAGUGGCGAAGGCGGCCUUCUGGACUGACACUGACGCUGAGGUGCGAAAGCGUGGGUAGCAAACAGGAUUAGAUCCCGAGUAGUC